GACGAACGCUGGCGGCGUGCUUAACACAUGCAAGUCGAACGGAAAGGCCCUGCUUGUGUGGGGUGCUCGAGUGGCGAACGGGUGAGUAACACGUGAGUAACCUGCCCUUGACUUUGGGAUAACUUCAGGAAACUGGGGCUAAUACCGGAUAGGAGCUCCUGCUGCAUGGUGGGGGUUGGAAAGUUUCGGCGGUUGGGGAUGGACUCGCGGCUUAUCAGCUUGUUGGUGGGGUAGUGGCUUACCAAGGCUUUGACGGGUAGCCGGCCUGAGAGGGUGACCGGCCACAUUGGGACUGAGAUACGGCCCAGAGUCCUACGGGAGGCAGCAGUGGGGAAUAUUGCACAAUGGGCGGAAGCCUGAUGCAGCAACGCCGCGUGCGGGAUGACGGCCUUCGGGUUGUAAACCGCUUUCGCCUGUGACGAAGCGUGAGUGACGGUAAUGGGUAAAGAAGCACCGGCUAACUACGUG
rnacentral:rRNA from 1 species